UCCAUGAGACGGCGCCGGCGAGAGAUCUGUGUUUGUUAACGGCUGAACCAAUCCAGGCUUUCCGUUCUUCGUCUCUGACGGAACGAGGCUGAGAUUGACGGAGCCGUUACUGUGUCCGUUAACGGCGGCUACUUGAUCAGCUAAACCACGGGUGAUUGAGCUGGAGUUCUCAGCGGAAGCUACUUUGCUGGCUAAGAUAGCGCAUGAGCUCUGCCAAUCAGCUCGGCUCGAGCCAAUACCAUUAGGGAAGCUAAACGAUUCAGACCUGUAACUACAAAGAACAGACACGCGCUUUCUAUUUACGUGAGAAUAACGCGCCGUUAGAUUCGUUUGGAUUAGGGAUUUGAGAUCACACGAGAACGCAGGCGAAACAGUUUGCAUGAUUUGAGUGGGGGAAAUAAAAUGCUACUGCUUUUUUUUUUUUUUACUGCUUUUAUUGUUGCUAAGAAAGAACAAAUAAAAUGACUGCGUAUUUGAAGUAGGUACAAAGCUUGGAGUUCUAUUGUUUUUAAGAGAACUUGCAAGCUGAGAGACAAAGGUGGGAGACAGAGGAGAUUAUAUAGUGGCUGAGAGCGGAGUUGAUGGAUUUUUCCAAAAGAAAGUCUUAGCGUGUCUUUCAGGGCUAUUCCGUCAAAUCCUCCACCUACCACAUUUUUUUUUUCCAUCUGAAUUUAAUUUAUAAAACUGAGAAACAUACAAGGAUGGAAUCCAAACCGGCGGAAACACAUUACAAUCCCCGGAAACUUAGCUCACAAAAGAGAAUCUAGAACCCAAACAACGGGCAACACAUAACAACUACAAUUAUCACUAGAUAAAACUACACUCCUGCAUCUAAACCCAUAAACAAUCCUAGACCAGGAGAAAGAAGAAAGUCCUUUAAUCAUUGAAACAGCCGGAACUCUUGCCGAAACCCAUACAAGCACAAGAGAGAGUGAGCGAUGCAGUGACCAAUACAACGAAACCAAACUCAACAUACCUGAACCUCCAGUUCACGAUACCAAGCCAGAACCACAAAACCUACCAAAUUCAAGAGGAAACAAACACCUGAGGUUAAACGCCCCUUCUCAACCAAACCUUCGUCGGCAGGCCUAAGACCUCAACCUCUCUGUAUUGCUUCAACGAACGAAGCCACCGAGGAACAGAGAAACAUAAGACCAUCCGGGAGAAACACUUAUUAAAAGGCCGGGAGAAGGACUCCUUAACUGAUAUGGAGAGGUGACAGGAUAUCUGAAACUUCUGAAGGAUGUAGGCCUGUUCUGCUCACCACACAACACUACGCCACCGUUACCCCACCGCUUACACCGUUACUGAAACAAGACCGAAGACAACCACUAAAACCCAAUAGAGAAGCUUUAGAUUCAAACUCCCGAGAGAAACAAGAUCAGAGUACACAGAUCUGAGGAAACUCGAAACUGGUUCCAUCCAUCGAACUUCACCGGCGCUAGAGACACGAUAUCCUCUUUAAACAAGACAAAAGACAAACCUCUAAACCUCCUUGUUCCUCAAACGAGCAUGAACCUGAUGGGGAAGAGAUGUUGCCGGAGAGCAACCUAAGAACCACCAACUGCUACAGCCAUAGAUGAAAGAAGACAAGAAAAUCAUCUCCGGUGCCGGCGAGGAGCGCCAAACACCGGAGAACGGCGGAUCUAGACCAGACGGGGGCUUGGCGGCGUGCUUGGUUGAGAGAGAGAUAUUAGGGUUCUUCUCCUAACAUCAUAAAAAGCCCAUCCUCCACCUACCACAUUCAUUUGAUUUUCCUCCAAUAUUCGUUUAUAUUUUAUAAAGUUUUAUGAGUUAAUUACAUGUGUAAAUAUG
rnacentral:lncRNA from 1 species